GUGUCAGCAGCCGCGGUAAGACGUAGGAUGCAAGCGUUGUCCGGAUUCAUUGGGCGUAAAGAGUUCGUAGGCGGUUUUUUAAGUCUGGAGUUAAAGAUCAAGGCUCAACCUUGGGACUGCUUUGGAUACUGAAAGACUUGAGUGCAGUAGGGGCGAGUGGAAUUUCCAGUGUAGCGGUGAAAUGCGUAGAUAUUGGAAAGAACACCAGUGGCGUAGGCGGCUCGCUGGGCUGUAACUGACGCUGAGGAACGAAAGCUAGGGUAGCGAAUGGGAUUAGAAACCCCCGUAGUCC
rnacentral:rRNA from 1 species